AUGACGAGCGGCGGACGGGUGAGUAAUGCUUGGGAACAUGCCUUUAGGUGGGGGACAACCAUUGGAAACGAUGGCUAAUACCGCAUAAUGUCUACGGACCAAAGGGGGCUUCGGCUCUCGCCUUUAGAUUGGCCCAAGUGGGAUUAGGUAGUUGGUGAGGUAAUGGCUCACCAAGCCGACGAUCCCUAGCUGGUUUGAGAGGAUGAUCAGCCACACUGGAACUGAGACACGGUCCAGACUCCUACGGGAGGCAGCAGUGGGGAAUAUUGCACAAUGGGCGCAAGCCUGAUGCAGCCAUGCCGCGUGUGUGAAGAAGGCCUUCGGGUUGUAAAGCACUUUCAGUAAGGAGGAAAGGUUAGUAGUUAAUACCUGCUAGCUGUGACGUUACUUACAGAAGAAGCACCGGCUAACUCCGUGCCAGCAGCCGCGGUAAUACGGAGGGUGCGAGCGUUAAUCGGAAUUACUGGGCGUAAAGCGUACGCAGGCGGUUUGUUAAGCGAGAUGUGAAAGCCCCGGGCUCAACCUGGGAACUGCAUUUCGAACUGGCAAACUAGAGUGUGAUAGAGGGUGGUAGAAUUUCAGGUGUAGCGGUGAAAUGCGUAGAGAUCUGAAGGAAUACCGAUGGCGAAGGCAGCCACCUGGGUCAACACUGACGCUCAUGUACGAAAGCGUGGGGAGCAAACGGGAUUAGAUACCCCGGUAGUCCACGCCGUAAACGAUGUCUACUAGGAGUUCGGUUUUUCGGAACUGUCUUCCAAAGCUAACGCAUUAAGUAGACCGCCUGGGGAGUACAGCCGCAAGGUUAAAACUCAAAUGAAUUGACGGGGGCCCGCACAAACGGUGGAGCAUGUGGUUUAAUUCCAUGCAACGCGAAGAACCUUACCUACACUUGACAUCCAGAGAACUUACUAGAGAUAAUUUGGUGCCUUCGGGAACUCUGAGACAAGUGCUGCAUGGCUGUCGUCAGCUCAUGUUGUGAGAUGUUGGGUUAAGUCCCGCAACGACCGCAACCCCUAUCCUUAUUUGCCAGCGAUUCGGUCGGGAACUCUAAGGAAACUGCCGGUGAU
rnacentral:rRNA from 1 species